GCCGAGGUGAUGAAAUUGGUAAACAUAUCGCGCUUAAAACGCGACGGCUAACAACCUUGAGGGUUCGAGUCCCUCUCUCGGUA
rnacentral:tRNA from 1 species